CAGUCGCCGCGGUAAUACAGAGGGUGCGAGCGUUAAUCGGAUUUACUGGGCGUAAAGCGUGCGUAGGCGGCUUUUUAAGUCGGAUGUGAAAUCCCUGAGCUUAACUUAGGAAUUGCAUUCGAUACUGGGAAGCUAGAGUAUGGGAGAGGAUGGUAGAAUUCCAGGUGUAGCGGUGAAAUGCGUAGAGAUCUGGAGGAAUACCGAUGGCGAAGGCAGCCAUCUGGCCUAAUACUGACACUGAGAGACGAAAGCUAGGGGAGCAAAUGGGAUUAGAUACCCGGGUAGUCCCUGUCUCUUAUAC
rnacentral:rRNA from 1 species